GAUGAAGAACGUAGUGAAAUGCGAUAAGUAAUGUGAAUUGCAGAAUUCAGUGAAUCAUCGAAUCUUUGAACGCAUCUUGCGCGCCUUGGUAUUCUGAGGAGCAUGCCUGUUUGAGUGUCAUUAAAUUCUCAACUACACUGACUUUGAAUUGGUGUGGCUUGGAUUUGGGGGGAAAAUUGUUGUGGGCUUUUUGUAUAGUCUGCUCCCCUGAAAUUGAUUAGCGGUACCUUUGUGGAACUGUCUACAGGUGUGAUAAUUAUCUACAUCUUAGACAUCUGCUGGAAUGCUGCUCUCUAAACCUUACUUGUAUUGACAAUCUUGACCUCAAAUCAGGUAGGACUACCCGCUGAACUUAAGCAUAUCAAUAAGCGGAGUA
rnacentral:misc_RNA from 1 species